CCGCGCCGGUGGCCCUCGGCGAGCGGGCCCGCGCUGCCGGCGCGGACGCCGGGCCGCUGUCCCGGGUGCUGUUCGACGCGGCGCUGUGCGGG
rnacentral:tRNA from 1 species